rnacentral:rRNA from 1 species
GAUGAACGCUGGCGGCGUGCCUAACACAUGCAAGUCGAGCGGAAAGACGCUGCUUUUGCGUGGUUCCCGAGUGGCGCACGUGUGUGAAACACGUGAGUCUCCCGCCCUUGACUUUGUGAUAUCUUCAGGCGACUGCGGAUAAUACAUGAGACGAGCUCUUGCUGCAUGGGGGUCGUCGGACAGUUUCGGCGGUUGGGGAUGGACUCGCGGCUUACUAGCUGGUUGGUGGGGUAGUGGCUUACCAAGGCUUUGACGGGUAGGCGGCCUGAGAGGGGGACCGGCCACAAUGGGACUGAGAUACGGACCAGACUCCUACGGGAGGCAGCAGGGGGGAAUAUUGCACAAUGGGCGGAAGCCUGAUGCGGCAACGCCGCGUGCGGGAUGACGGCUUUCGGGUUGUAAACCGCUGUCGCCUGAGACGAAGCGUGAGUGACGGUAAUGGGUAAAGAAGCACCGGCUAACUACGUG